UCAAAGUUAAGAGUGUGUGUUUGUGAGUGUGUUCUUCAUUUGAGAGAAUUGUGGGUGUGAAGGGAAAGCAUUGAAGAUUGAAGAAAAAAAGGGUUUUAGAUCUCCAUUUUUCAGCUCAUAGUAAGGGCAGGUGUGUAGGCCAGUCGUUUUGUGUGCAACUGUUGCAACGUGUGUCGAUGCGUUUCACUACUCAGGGAAGUACCUUGUCGCGAGCUCUAAGAGGAGGAAGAUGUGCAUCUUGAGGCUUGAAGUUGGCAAUUGUCUCUUAGUUAGAUAGUUGCCUUCGACUUGAGUUUAAUUUUUGUAAUAUAUCUCAGCAGUAUUACUUAAAUUCUCACUGUAACUCAUGAGAUGGAAUUGGAAUUGUAGACCUUUAUU